ACUUGGAUAUGGAUUCUUCACGGUAACGUAACUGAAAGAGGAGACGUCGGCGUGAGCCCUGGGAGGAGUUAUCUNUUCUUCUUAACAGCUUAUCNCCCUGGAAUUGGUUUAUCNGGANAUAGGGUNUUAUGGCUGGAAGAGCGCAACACUUCUGUUGCGUCCGGUGCGCUCANNNCGGCNCUUGAAAAUCCUCUGGAAGGAAUAGUUUUCAUGCCAAGUNGUAC
rnacentral:rRNA from 1 species